AAGGAGCUGUGACUGUGUGGGUCGUCGUUGUGGCGGUCUGGCAUGGUCCAUUGGGUCGGGCGCCUCCUGUGUGGGGUGUGUGGCCUGCUUCUGUGGAAUGUUGACUGGAUGUAUUUUUCUGCCUGGUCUGGUGUCCUCCUGUGUGGGGGUGUCGGGUGGGUGGGGGCGCACUGUUGGGGUUCUGGGGUAUCACCUUGUGGUGUCCUGGCGAAUGCCGCUGCUGCGGGUCCUGUUGUGGGGCUUGUGGUGGGUGUCUCGUGUGGUGGUUGAGAACUGUACAGUGGAUAUGAGCAUCUUUGUAGAUUCUUGUUUUGUGUGUAUU
rnacentral:misc_RNA from 1 species